rnacentral:tRNA from 1 species
GGGGCAUUAGUUCAGUUGGGAGAACGCCACACUGGCAGUGUGGAGGUCAGCGGUUCGAGUCCGCUAUGCUCCACCA